GCUGGAAGUGGUGGCAUGCACCUGGAAUCCCUGCUGUCAGGGAAACUGAGGCUGGCGUAUCACUUGAACUCAGGAGUUCUGAGCUUCAGUAAGCUAAGUAAUCAGGUGUCUGUAUUAAAUUUAGCCCCAAUAUAGAGUGAUACCUUACCCCCAAGCAGGUCAACUAAGGAAGGGCAAGCCAGCACAGAUCAGAAAUUGAGCAGGUCAAAACUCUCUUACUGAUUAGUACUGGGAUUGGGUCCAUGAGUAGCUGCUGCACUUUCAACAUGGGUGAGAUAGGGAGACCCAGUCUUA
rnacentral:SRP_RNA from 1 species